rnacentral:rRNA from 1 species
GAUGAACGCUGGCGGCGUGCUUAACACAUGCAAGUCGAACGAAGCUACCCAAAGGAAGUUUUCGGAUGGAAUUUAGGUAGACUUAGUGGCGGACGGGUGAGUAACGCGUAAAGAACUUGCCUCACAGUUAGGGACAACAUUUGGAAACGAAUGCUAAUACCUGAUAUUAUGAUUUUAGGGCAUCCUAGAAUUAUGAAAGCUAUAUGCGCUGUGAGAGAGCUUUGCGUCCCAUUAGCUAGUUGGAGAGGUAACGGCUCACCAAGGCGAUGAUGGGUAGCCGGCCUGAGAGGGUGAACGGCCACAAGGGGACUGAGACACGGCCCUUACUCCUACGGGAGGCAGCAGUGGGGAAUAUUGGACAAUGGACCAAGAGUCUGAUCCAGCAAUUCUGUGUGCACGAUGAAGUUUUUCGGAAUGUAAAGUGCUUUCAGUUGGGAAGAAAAAAAUGACGGUACCAACAGAAGAAGUGACGGCUAAAUACGUGCCAGCAGCCGCGGUAAUACGUAUGUCACAAGCGUUAUCCGGAUUUAUUGGGCGUAAAGCGCGUCUAGGUGGUUAUAUAAGUCUGAUGUGAAAAUGCAGGGCUCAACUCUGUAUUGCGUUGGAAACUGUGUAACUAGAGUACUGGAGAGGUAAGCGGAACUACAAGUGUAGAGGUGAAAUUCGUAGAUAUUUGUAGGAAUGCCGAUGGGGAAGCCAGCUUACUGGACAGAUACUGACGCUGAAGCGCGAAAGCGUGGGUAGCAAACAGG